AGCUCAGAAAAAAACAUAGUCCUUUUUUGUAAUUGUUAAGUACUCUUCCAGACAGCUAUACUAAAUUUGUUUAAUCUACCAGCCCAGAUCUUAGCAGUAGAAGUUAAGCUGUAGCAUUCUGUCUGUGCUAGUGGUUAGGUUGCCCUUGAGAUCUUUAUCAGCACCUGAAGCCCCAUAGUCCCUUUUCCACUCACACCUUCUCUUUCUGCCCUGGCUCUGUUUUGAAACAGUCUUAUUCCUCACCAUGGGGUUGUAUUCUGAGGGGCAGCACAUAAAGUGUCUAAGGAUAGGAACUCAGGGACAGCAAGCUGUGGAGCUGCAUCCCCAAGGCAUCCAGUGCUCAGGCCUUCACACACAGAAAAGCUACAAACACACAAAGAGGAUGAGAUGAAGGCAGCUGGAAAAGCAACACAACUGACCUUCAGCCCUGACAUGAAGAAAAAUUCCUGAGGAUGUAUGGACAGCAUACAAGAACCAGAAUAUCUUCUUCACAGGACAUAGGAGAGAUUUGCAAGCCGUUCUGCGUCAGAUGCGCUUUAAUGCUGUAAGUGCUGUAAGUGGAGGACCUCUCAAAACACAGCUUUUGUGCUGCAAUUAGCUUAUGGUUUUUCAAGCAGGAAAUCAACUUCAGGGGUGGUGGUUUUCCUACAGCUAACAUAACUAACGUAGCAAUUGUUUGAUCUUUGCAGGUUUUAAAAUGUAUAGUUUUGUGUAUAGUCAAUGGAAAGAGUUUAGUAUCUCUGUAGCUACCUCAAAAUAUCUCAUAAAACUAAAAGUAAACGGAUAUAAAAAAUACUGAAAUAGGGGCGUAUCCACAUUGCAGUAAUUUUCUUCUACGUUUGCCUACUUUAAGAACUUGCGUAUUUAUGACGGACUGAAGAUUGAAGAAAUAGUAUGCUUACACAAUAAUAUGCAAAUAACUUUGUUUCCUCUAAAACUCAAAGGAGGGAAGUUAUGCUCAUUUGGGGAUUACAGGAUGUUGGCUAUUUGAAGAAGUAUCUGACUAGUAAAGAGAAAAUUAUCUAAUUUGAAAAGAGGAAGAUCUGUUCAGCAGCUGGGAUAUGAACUGAUGGAACCCAUUCUUCCAUUCCUGGCACUGGAAAAAUUUCCUCUGGGAUCAACUCAUAGUCUGAUUCUAUUUGACAUUUCUCAUUCUCGCUUUAACUUCUGCCUAAAAUAGUUACAAAUACUAGUCUUAAAAGUACAGC
ensembl:lncRNA